CCUACGGGAGGCAGCAGUGAGGAAUAUUGGUCAAUGGACGAGAGUCUGAACCAGCCAAGUAGCGUGAAGGAUGACUGCCCUAUGGGUUGUAAACUUCUUUUAUAUGGGAAUAAAAUGUUCCACGUGUGGGCUUUUGUAUGUACCAUAUGAAUAAGGAUCGGCUAACUCCGUGCCAGCAGCCGCGGUAAUACGGAGGAUCCGAGCGUUAUCCGGAUUUAUUGGGUUUAAAGGGAGCGUAGGUGGAUUGUUAAGUCAGUUGUGAAAGUUUGCGGCUCAACCGUAAAAUUGCAGUUGAAACUGGCAGUCUUGAGUAAAGUAGAGGUGGGCGGAAUGCGUGGUGUAGCGGUGAAAUGCUUAGAUAUCACGAAGAACUCCGAUUGCGAAGGCAGCUCACUGGACUGCAACUGACACUGAGGCUCGAAAGUGUGGGUAUCAAACAGGAUUAGAUACCCUUGUAGUC
rnacentral:rRNA from 1 species